AUUGAACGCUGGCGGCAGGCCUAACACAUGCAAGUCGAGCGGAUGAAGGGAGCUUGCUCCUGGAUUCAGCGGCGGACGGGUGAGUAAUGCCUAGGAAUCUGCCUGGUAGUGGGGGAUAACGUCCGGAAACGGGCGCUAAUACCGCAUACGUCCUGAGGGAGAAAGUGGGGGAUCUUCGGACCUCACGCUAUCAGAUGAGCCUAGGCCGGAUUAGCUAGUUGGUGGGGUAAAGGCCUACCAAGGCGACGAUCCGUAACUGGUCUGAGAGGAUGAUCAGUCACACUGGAACUGAGACACGGUCCAGACUCCUACGGGAGGCAGCAGUGGGGAAUAUUGGACAAUGGGCGAAAGCCUGAUCCAGCCAUGCCGCGUGUGUGAAGAAGGUCUUCGGAUUGUAAAGCACUUUAAGUUGGGAGGAAGGGCAGUAAGUUAAUACCUUGCUGUUUUGACGUUACCAACAGAAUGAGCACCGGCUAACUUCGUG
rnacentral:rRNA from 1 species